AUGCCUUAUCUGCAUGCUGCAGAGCAGAAGGCUGUGAGAAAGAAAAUACCUGGAGGAUGGGAUCCAACAUACACCAUAAGAAGUUUUUUCCCGCAUUGGAGAUCAGUAUUAGGGGCCCGGUGUAAGGAUGGGAUCCAACAUCCACCCUAUACAGCAGCAGAUGAUGAGUCUGUGCUUCGUAGUGGAAUGGGCGAUGAGUCUUCAUUGAUUCAUAAUCAUAAUAUUGAGUUAGUUGGAAGAAUUCAGCAAUUUACAAGUACUCGUCAAUCAAGAAUGUACAGUACAUGUGCACCCAAAACACUGGCAAAGGUGCUAAAG
rnacentral:rRNA from 1 species